CAGUAGCCACGGUAAUACGUAGGGUGCAAGCGUUAUCCGGAAUUAUUGGGCGUAAAGAGCUCGUAGGCGGUUUGUCGCGUCUGCUGUGAAAACUGGAGGCUCAACCUCCAGCCUGCAGUGGGUACGGGCAGACUAGAGUGCGGUAGGGGAGAUUGGAAUUCCUGGUGUAGCGGUGGAAUGCGCAGAUAUCAGGAGGAACACCGAUGGCGAAGGCAGAUCUCUGGGCCGUAACCGACGCUGAGGAGCGAAAGCGUGGGGAGCGAACAGGAUUAGAUACCCCCGUAGUCCCUGUCUCUUAUAA
rnacentral:rRNA from 1 species